rnacentral:rRNA from 1 species
GGAAGGUCCCCCACAUUGGAACUGAGACACGGUCCAAACUCCUACGGGAGGCAGCAGUGAGGAAUAUUGGUCAAUGGACGAGAGUCUGAACCAGCCAAGUAGCGUGCAGGAUGACGGCCCUAUGGGUUGUAAACUGCUUUUAUAAGGGAAUAAAGUGAGCCUCGUGAGGCUUUUUGCAUGUACCUUAUGAAUAAGGACCGGCUAAUUCCGUGCCAGCAGCCGCGGUAAUACGGAAGGUCCGGGCGUUAUCCGGAUUUAUUGGGUUUAAAGGGAGCGUAGGCCGGAGAUUAAGCGUGUUGUGAAAUGUAGAUGCUCAACAUCUGCACUGCAGCGCGAACUGGUUUCCUUGAGUACGCACAAAGUGGGCGGAAUUCGUGGUGUAGCGGUGAAAUGCUUAGAUAUCACGAAGAACUCCGAUUGCGAAGGCAGCUCACUGGAGCGCAACUGACGCUGAAGCUCGAAAGUGCGGGUAUCGAACAGGAUUAGAUACCCUGGUAGUCCGCACGGUAAACGAUGGAUGCCCGCUGUUGGUCUGAAUAGGUCAGCGGCCAAGCGAAAGCAUUAAGCAUCCCACCUGGGGAGUA